UACGUAGGGGGCUAGCGUUGUCCGGAAUCAUUGGGCGUAAAGCGUCCGCAGGUGGUUUUCCAAGUCUGCUGUUAAAGCGCGAGGCUUAACCUCGUACAGGCAGUGGAAACUGGAUGACUAGAGUAUGGUAGGGGUAGCGGGAAUUCCCAGUGUAGCGGUGAAAUGCGUAGAUAUUGGGAAGAACACCAGCGGCGAAAGCGCGCUACUGGGCCAUUACUGACACUCAUGGACGAAAGCUAGGGGAGCGAAAGGG
rnacentral:rRNA from 1 species